UACGUAGGGUGCAAGCGUUGUUCGGAAUUACUGGGCGUAAAGCGCACGUAGGCGGACUAUUAAGUCAGGGGUGAAAUCCUGGAGCUCAACUCCAGAACUGCCUUUGAUACUGAGGAUCUUGAGUUCGGGAGAGGUGAGUGGAACUGCGAGUGUAGAGGUGAAAUUCGUAGAUAUUCGCAAGAACACCAGUGGCGAAGGCGGCUCACUGGCCCGAUACUGACGCUGAGGCACGAAAGCGUGGGGAGCCAAACAGGG
rnacentral:rRNA from 1 species